rnacentral:rRNA from 1 species
CUGCUGCCUCCCGUAGGAGUCUGGGCCGUGUCUCAGUCCCAAUGUGGCCGGUCACUCUCUCAAGCCGGCUACUGAUCGUUGCUUUGGUAGGCCAUUACCCUGCCAACUGGCUAAUCAGACGCGGGGCCAUCGUAUGCCGAUAAAUCUUUUCACACCAUGCCAUGCAGCAUUGUGUGCUUAUGCGGUAUUAGCAGUCAUUUCUGACUGUUGUCCCCCUGCAUACGG